AGCUUUUUCGUUUAAAGGGCAAAGUUGUUACUGCAGGUUGUCACUACUAUUGUGUGCUCCCAAGACACAUGGAUUUCGAUUUGGCUUCAGCUGUAGGUAAAGGUGAUCAGGUGAAAAAGGAUGAUGCCUCUGGCCAGGAACAGAACGCCCUCUUUGGAUGGGGGAAGAAGAAGGACAAAGAUGGGGAUAAGAGUGCAUCCAAGGACAAAGACAAAUAAAAGGACCGCAAGGACAGUGACAAAUCGAAGGACCAUAAGGAGGACAAAGACAAGUCUAAGGAACAUAAGGACAAGAAACAUGGUGACAAGAAGGACACCGGUCAUAAGAAGAAAGACAAGAAGCCCAAAGAGCAUAAGAACAAAGAUGAUGGGCAUGGGUCCUCUUCUUCUUCCUCGUCCAGCAGCGAUGAGGAUGAAGGCAAGAAGAAGCAUCACUGAUUCUGUUGCUGUGAGGAGGUGCUACUGCCAGUUAACCCUGACCUCAAUGUUUUCUACUGCAGUGUUGUUGCAUGAUAUUUACUGUGUACCGUUCCUUGUAGUUCCUGAUGUAUAUUUUGAUGUGCCAGACUGUAAAGUAGUGUGUUUUACAACCGAACAUUAAAUAACACCACAACCAGGAUUUAUGGUGAAUGUCAGACUUUUUUUCAGACAUCUUUCCUCCCAAGUGAAAAGUCUAAUGUCCACCAGAGGGAGGUGUUUUUCAUUUAAUAUUUGUUAAAUAGAUUGAAUACAAUUGA